UACGGAGGGUGCGAGCGUUGUCCGGAAUCACUGGGCGUAAAGGGCGCGUAGGCGGCCCGUCAAGCGUGUGGUGAAAGCCCGGGGCUCAACCCCGGGUCGGCCGUGCGGACUGGCGGGCUCGAGCACUGUAGGGGCGGGUGGAAUUCCGGGUGUAGCGGUGGGAUGCGUAGAGAUCCGGAAGAACACCGGUGGCGAAGGCGGUUAGCUGGGCAGUUGCUGACACUGAGGCGCGACAGCGUGGGGAGCAAACAGG
rnacentral:rRNA from 1 species